rnacentral:lncRNA from 1 species
UUUUUUUUUGCAUUAGGAAGAUUUCUCAGUACCAUGUUGAAUAGCAAUAGUGAGAGUGGAAAUCUUGGCCUUGUUCCUGAUUUAGAGGAAAAUUUUCAACCUUUUAUCAUUAAUUAUGAUGUUAGCUGUGAGCUUGUCCUAUAUGACAUUUAUUAUGUUGAGAUAUGUUCCUUCAAUGGUUAAUUUGUUGAGUUUUUAUCAUAAAUGAAUGAAUUCUGUCAAAUGCUUGUUCUCUUAUCUAUUGAGGUGAUCAUGAUUCCUUUCAUUCUGUUAAUGUGGUGAAUCACAUUGAUUGAUUUACAUAUGUUGAAUUAUCUUUGCAUCCCAUGGAUAAAUCCUACUUAAUCACAUUGAAUGAUCCUAUUAAUAUGCUGCUGAUUCAGUCAGCUAGUAUUUUAGUGAGAAUUUUGGCAUCUUUAUUCAUCCAGACAUUGACUUAUAGUUACCUUUCUAGUAGUGUCCUUUUAUGGUUUUGGUAUGAGGAUAACGUUGGCAUUGUAAAAUGAGUUGAGGAGCGUUCCUUCUCUUUGAUUUUUUUUGAAAGAAUCUGAGAAGGAUUGGUAUCAAUUCUCCUUUAAAUGUUUGGUAAAAUUUACGAGUGAAGCCAUCUGGUCCUGGGUUUUUCUUUGUUAGGAAAUUGUGGAUUACUGAUUUAAUCUCCUUACUAAUAAUUGGUCUAUUAAGAUUUUCUAUUGCUAUGGGAAAUCUUUCCAUGGAAUUUAAUUUAUGAGUAUUUUUCUUAUAGAAAUUGGACAAAUAAAGUAUGAAUGUUUUGAUGUAGACCAAGGAUUAGCAAACUGUGCACUAAAGAAGCAGAUGGUAAAUACUUUAGGCAUUACAGUCCAAAAGGUAAAGUCAAGGAUUUCUGUAGCUUCUCAACUGUUUACAAUUUCUGUCAUAAUUCCUCAAUUCUGUUGUAGUGUGAAAGUAGAUAAAUAAUAUAUAAACAAAUGGCUGUGGCUGUGUUCCAGUAAACUCUUAUUUACAAAAACUAGCAGCAGGUCAGAUUUGGCCCAUGAAUCAUAUUUGCCACCUUCUGGCUUAGACCAUAAUUAACUUUUAAAUAAAAUUUUACUGAGAUAUGGGUAUAGAAAUAGUUUCAUUUUUCCCAUCUUUAAAUUGAAUCAAUAAAGUUUAAGCAUUCUAUCUCCUCAUUUCUCUAGCUCUGCUGGGAGGUGGGAGAGGGUGGUUCUUGAGGUAAUGAAUCCAAGAAGAGAUAAGCCCUGACUUAUGAUGUGACAGGCCAAGGAAAGACAGGCCAGUUGGUAGCUCAGGAACUGUGAUGAACAGGAUGAGCAUUGGGCUAAGCUCCAGUGACUGCUCCCAAAAAGCAAGUGCACUUUUUGCUUGUUCAGAUGGUGUUUUGAUUUCUGAUCCUACUUCUUAAAACCUUCCCUGGAAGAAGAAUCUGGAAAUGGGAGCUAGGAAGUAAAGUCAAGAUAAAGAUUGUAUGAUACUUAUAUCCAUCCUCAGUCACACACAUCUAGGAGAUGCAUGACUGGAACCAAAGAUGGGAGACAGGCCAGGGACAGAUGGCUAGUGACACUGGUUCUUUUCUUCUUUGCCUGUGACAAUACCAAAAAAAAAAAAAAAAAAGGAACAUUUUAUUUUAUAAAUACCUGUUGUAAGGAUGUUCAGUGAGACUGAGCUAGGUGGAAUAAGGGAGGGUUUUGAUAAGCUGUCUUUGCCGUCUGGACAACCUCCUCCCCCCAGUUCUUCUGACAAAAUUAGUGAAGGCAUUGAGAAAAUGGAAAAGAGUAAAGCAAGGAUGGAAAACAGAAGAGAAGCAGGGGAAUAGGGGGAGAGAGAAGGAAAAAGGGAAGAGAAGUCUUUGAAUAUUUCUCUUAGGCUCCAAGUGUGCUGCCUGCUAUCUAUGGCCAGGAUCCCAGAACUCUGGGGACAUUGGGAGGUGGUUCAGGCUUUCACUCAUGUCCCUUGGAUGACUUUCUUUGGAAGAAGUUGACAGUCACUGAAUAGAUUUUCCCGGUAUACUGAAAAGCAUAGAGAUCACCAGUGUUGAAAAGGU